AGACGUGCUCAGGUGAUAGAGAAGAGUAGCAUGAAAAGUUAACAAUGUUAGUAAAACACAGUUUGUCUACAAGCUAACAGAUCCAAACAGAGGACAACUGACAAGGAAGCAACUGGGACCGUGGAAAGCGCUGUUUCCUCCCUGCUGUUCGCCUAGGUCAGGUCUUAUGGAGAGAGUGAGGCCACCUUUUUGAAGAUUCUUUCGUGUUGAUGGGGACCGUCUCAGCGUGAUUCAACUGAACCACAGAAUCGACUCAUCGUGGUCUCCACUUGGUGAUCAAAGUAGUUGCUGUAGUGAUCAUGCCACUGUUUAAUGAACAUUUUUCCAGUCCACCCACACGCUUAUUCAGAGCGGCCCACAUCAAAGAACUUAUGGGGAACCUUGACAGUUGCUGUGGAGAAGACUGGGUCUACCACUCCGUUAUUCCAUCUCAACCUCAGGCUACACCACCAUGGAGUUCCUCAGCUCAGUGUCCUUACUGAUGGUGGAGAUGACCUGAGCCACGAUAAGCCACGGCAAACAGUUAAUCUCCGGUAAGGACGGUGACGCUGAUGAGUGGGAGGUGGAGCACUCAUUUCCUGGGAGU